GUAAAACGAGGACGUGAGUAUCUGCUAUUGUGUCAGAAUUACCAGCAGCAGCUGCCAGCUCCGCUCCCUCUCCUCCUCCCUCCCCUCCACUGUUCCCAGUGCUAUCUUGAGGCUUCUCAGAGCCUCAGGGGAAUUUGCAUGGGCUGAUGCUACUCACUGGGUGGUUGGGGGAGGGAAAGGAAGAUGACUAGAGUUUCAAGAGGUGUGAGCGGUUCUUCCUGAGGCUCAAAAAGACACGGCGUGAAGGACGCAGACUUAGCACUUCUCCAAGGCAGGGAAAGAGAGGACGGAAUCCCAGUCACCCUGACUUGGCUGGACAGGAGAAACGACUUGACUUCAUUGGAGAAGCAGUGAGCCAGCCAGGUCAGAAUAUUAAGGAGCUCAUGGUAUCCAAAGAAAAGCCCAACCAUGGUAAACUUGGAACUUAAAAGAGAAAAUGAAGCUCUUCCUAAAAAGGAGGGAAGUGGGCACUUUGAGGGGGAAGCCAACACUUGUCCUCCAAGAAAUGGCAAAGGUGACCUACUUCUGCUGUCAACUAGUGAAAUUAUCCAGUGAGGACUGAAGGGGAAAGAGAGUAAUGGUGGCUGGUGGUUUCCAGACAAUGGUGCCAAGAUAUUUGAAGAUAGCCAUUGCAUACUCAACUCUUCUCCAUCCCAAACACUCAAUUCCCUCAAUGAUUUUUCACAUGGCAGGAACUCGAAGCCUUUUACACAUCAUCAUUUACUGCCUUGGGAUGCUUUACCAAUAAUUGACAUCCUUCCUAAAAUAUGUUGCCCAAAACUGACCACUAUCAGAGCAGAUAUGGUCUGACCGAGGCAGAUCUCCACUAUGACUCACAUAACACACUCUAAGAUCUAAGGAGAAGCCAGAUCACAUCAUUGACUCAGACCAAGCUUUCAUGCCAGGAAUACUUUCAGACAAGAUGAACUGCUGUAGAGUCACACUUUCCCCAUUUUUAACUGUAUUAUUGAUUUUAAAAAAUGUAAGACUUCAUUUAUAUCUGUUGAAUUUCAUUUUUAUUUGGCUAAUAUUCUAACCCAUCAAAGACUUCUUAGAUCAUUGUGUCAUCUGCAAAUCUGAUGAACUUCCCACUUAUUCCUUUAGCCAAGUCACUGACAAAAAUUUGAAAUACCCCUCGGCUGAGCAGAGAUCUCCUGGACAUGCCACUAGAGACCUUUUUCCAAGUGUACAUUAAAUCAUUAAUGACCAUU